UUGAGUUCUACAUGUUAGAGGUGUCCAAUUGUUAUGAAACUUUAAAUUGGAGGUCCUUAUAUGGUAAUUAUACCAUUGGUAACUUGGUAGACAAAAAUGGACAUGAGAUAAGUGAAAUAGAAAAUUUUUAAGUUAGGGGCAAUUUGGUAAUCUAGUAAUUAAAAUGAAUUAAAAGGGAAAAAGAUGGCAAAAAUCAUCAUCUUCUUCAUUAGGACGAAAUCAGCAAGGGGGGAAGCCAUAGUUAGGGUUUUCAAGCUUCCAAGCUCCAUAAUCAAGAAGAACGAAACUCGAGGUUAGACAAAGGGAAGAAUAAAGUUGAAGACUAAGUUGUUGAAUUGGACUAUAUUUGAUACCGAGUAUUGCAAAGCUACUUCAAGGAUCCUAAAGAAGUCGGAGAUCGUCCACACUAUCAAC